rnacentral:rRNA from 1 species
GAUGAACGCUGGCGGCGUGCCUAACACAUGCAGGUCGAGCGAUUCUCUUCGGAGAAGAGCGGCGGACGGGUGAGUAACGCGUGGGUAACCUGCCCUGUACACAUGGAUAACAUACCGAAAGGUAUGCUAAUACGAGAUAAUAUGCUUUUAUCGCAUGGUAGAAGUAUCAAAGCUUUUGCGGUACAGGAUGGACCCGCGUCUGAUUAGCUAGUUGGUAAGGUAACGGCUUACCAAGGCGACGAUCAGUAGCCGACCUGAGAGGGUGAUCGGCCACAUUGGAUCUGAGACACGGUCCAAACUCCUACGGGAGGCAGCAGUGGGGAAUAUUGCACAAUGGGCGAAAGCCUGAUGCAGCAACGCCGCGUGAGCGAUGAAGGCCUUCGGGUCGUAAAGCUCUGUCUUCAGGGACGAUAAUGACGGUACCUGAGGAGGAAGCCACGGCUAACUACGUGCCAGCCGCCGCAGUAA